UUAUGAGAUUAAAGGAACAAAUUAACAUAUUUAAAGGAGUGGUUCAGCCCAACUGUCAGCAUCUACAAUGUAAUCCAAUAACUAUAACAGUUAAUCGGGCUGACUACCUUACAAACCGUACUUAUGGUCUUGGAGCAGAUGUAACUGGACGAGACCCAACAGCUAGACUGAGAAUAGCUGUAAGGGAACGACUCUCUCUUGCCAUCAUAGAAAGGGAGAAACUCAAGGAGAAACUCAAGGAGAAAGCAGGAGAGAAAACAGGAGAAUCUCUUCGAAAUAAGGCAAUUGAAACAGGGUAUGGAGAUGUGAAUGCCUGGAUAGAAUGGGUCAGAUAUACUGUCCAGAGUCUCAACCAUAGCAAUUGCUAUGCUUGUGCCUCAGGAUGACCGAUUGCCCAGAUAGUGCCCUUCCCAUUGGGGUGGACCGAAGACUCCCAAGGGAUGCGAUGUAUGAUUGCAUUGUACCAAGAAAAGACUGCCUGGGGAAAUGAAGCCUGUAAGUCUCUCUCUUUGCUAUUCCCUUCCUUGCAUAAUAGCAAUAUCAGAGCUCCCCCUGUAUUCUCCACAGCCAUAGGUAACCAUACAGCCUGCCUCUCAUGGCAGGGUGUGAGUGCUACCCAGCAUCUGGGAGAAUUUGCCUUGUGCACGAAGACCUUGAAUGCUACCAAGGACUUGAUGGGAAAUUACUCAAGACUUGAGAUCCCCAGGGCAGAUCUCUGGUGGUACUGUGGAGGGAAGAUCUUACGGUCCACCCUACCAUCUAAUUGGGGAGGCACUUGUGCACUUGUUCAAUUAGCUAUACCCUUCACCCUGGCAUUUGAAAGAGAAACAUCACAAAUACCCAGAAGAAGUAAAAGAGGCUUAGGAAUAUCAUUUGAUGAUAGAGUAUACAUAGAUUCUAUUGGGGUACCUAGAGGAGUUCCGGAUGAACAUAAAGCUAGGAAUCAAAUUGCUGCAGGGUUUGAGUCACUGUUCUGGUGGGUAACAAUCAAUAAAAAUGUGGAUUGGAUUAAUUAUAUCUAUUAUAAUCAGCAGAGAUUCAUCAAUUAUACCAGGGAUGCAAUAAGAGGAAUCGCUGAACAACUAGAUGCCACCAGCAAAAUGGCUUGGGAAAACAGGAUAGCAUUAGAUAUGAUGCUCGCAGAGAAGGGUGGUGUAUGCGUGAUGCUGGGCAACCGUUGUUGUACUUUCAUCCCUAACAAUACAGCCCCGGAUGGCACAGUAACAAGAGCAUUGCAAGGGCUUACCACCCUUGCCAAUGAAUUAGCAGAAAA